UGCCAAUCUGCACGUAAAAGCACCCUUGCCACAAGUCUUUGAGUGGUUAGUAGGUGGCCUGUUGCAAGGCUUAAUUUCUCCCCAACAUAUCCUCCUCUCAGUUGGCAGUCAAAAUUUCCCCUACCUUCAUCAUCAGCCCACUUUAUAGAACCUACAAAUUAAUUUGUUAUGAAAUGAAGAGAUGUGAGACAUUACUAUCCUACAGAGACCAAAUGAUGUUGAUGUAAAAUAGGUUACUGUAUGGACUUCAACAAUGAGAAAAGCAACUAACACUAAAAUUUUGCAAUAUUCUGAAUUAGAAUGACUUUGUUAAUACCUCUAACCUUUAACAUCUGAUAUUUUUAUUAUCUAUAGCUGUGUAAAAAAAAUAUAAAAAUUAUAAAAAAAGGAAAUAUCCAAAAAUAAAAUGAAAACAAAAUUGUGAACAGAGUUUCAGAUAAUAAACAUUGAGGGUGGUGUAAAAAGUAGGCAUAUUUAAAAUUUUGUUUAUUAUUAUGAAAAGUGCACUGUAUAAUUUGUAAAAAUGUUUAUUGUGAAGUCUUGAAAAUUGUGAAACUGUAGAACUGUAUUUAUUUGAGAUGUCUAUAUUCAGUCUUCAAUGAUUGUCAUGGCAAUUGAGGACAAUAGAAUAUUGCUCUGUGUAGAAACUGUCUUUUUUAUAUCAAGAAAGAUCCAACAAAAGUUUUCAAUGAUAUCUAAAGAGACGAAAGACUGAGAAAUACUAAAAGGUCAAAUUAAAGUUUUCUAUGAGAUUGGUGGAUUAUGUACAGUCAGACAAGGCUGGCACACUCAAGCUAAAAGUAAUAGCUAUUAAAAUAAAAUUAUGAACUUGUAUAAUAACAUUAAUGAAGACAGAUGUUCUAUAGUGAAGACAUGUUCCUACAUAAUGUUCUAUAGUGAAGACAUGUUCCUACAUAAUGUUCUAUAGUGAAGACAUGUUCCUACAUAAUGUUCUAUAGUGAAGACAUGUUCCUACAUAAUGUUCUGUAGUGAAGACAUGUUCCUACAUAAUGUUGUAUAGUGAAGACAUAUUCCUACAUAUUGUUCUAUAGUGAAGACAUGUUCCUAUAUAAUGUUCUAUAGUGAAGACAUAUUCCUACAUAUUGUUCUAUAGUGAAGACAUAUUCCUACAUAUUGUUCUAUAGUGAAGACAUGUUCCUACAUAAUGUCCUAUAGUGCAGACAUGUUCCUACAUAAUGUUCUGUAGUGAAGAGACGUUCCUACAUAAUGUUCUAUAGAGAAGACAUGUUCAUACAUAAUGUUCUAUAGUGAAGACAGAUGUUCUAUAGCACAAACAGAUGUUCCUAAGUUGCAAUGAAGUGUUCAGAAGACAGACAGAGUUUCCUUUUGCAAUGAAGUAUCCAGAACACAUAGUUGAUUAGAUUUCCAGUUCUUCAUUACAUAUUCUGACGUUUUCUCAAGAAAAAUACAAGAUUUCAAUGUUCAACCUGAAAGGAGAAAUUCUUAAAAUUUAUGCUGGACAUCUCAUAUCAAGGAUCCAUCACAAUAUUGGAUAUCUAAAGAUAUCAGACUUAUGAAGAAUAUUCUGAUAAAUUAAUGAUGUACGACAAAUCGUGCUACAAGUAUCAUACCAGCAGAAUUAUUUGAUGGGAGUAAAACAUAGGAGCAGGAUCUCACCUCAUACAAG